rnacentral:rRNA from 1 species
GGUGACCUGCGGAAGGAUCAUUAAUAAUAAGUGUUUUAUGGCCUUUUGAAAUCCAUAUCCACCUUGUGUGCAAUGUCAGCCGAUCUUUCUUUUUUGGAAGAUCUGCCAAACAUCAACUUAUUUUUUUAACUCUUUGUCUGAAAAAAAUUAUGAAUAAACGAUUGAAAAUACUGCUUUAAACAACUGAUCUCUUGGCUCUCGCAUCGAUGAAGAACGCAGCGAAAUGCGAUACGUAAUGUGAAUUGCAAAAUUCAGUGAAUCAUCGAAUCUUUGAACGCAUAUUGCGCUCUUUGGUAUUCCGAAGAGCAUGCUUGUUUGAGUAUCCGUAAACACCUCCAAACUUUUGAUUUAUUUUGAAAGCUUUGGACUUGAGCGAUCCCAACACCAAUCUUUUAAGAUCGGCGGCGGGUUGUUUGAAAUGCAGGUGCAGCUGGACAUUCUCCUGAGCUAAAAGCAUAUUUAUUUAGUCCCGUCAAACGGAUUAUUACUUUUGCUGCAGCUAAUAUAAAGGGAGUUUGACCGUUUUGGCUGACUGAUGCANGAUUUCACAAGGGUCGGCAACGAUUCUUGUUAAACUCGAUCUCAAUCAAGUAAGACUACCCGCUGAACUUAAGCAUAUCAAUAAGCGGAGGAAAGAAACUAACAGGA